CGUAGGGUGCGAGCGUUAAUCGGAAUUACUGGGCGUAAAGCGUGCGCGGGCGGUUUUGUAAGACAGGCGUGAAAUCCCCGGGCUCAACCUGGGAACUGCGCUUGUGACUGCAAGGCUAGAGUACGGCAGAGGGGGUGGAAUUCCACGUGUAGCAGUGAAAUGCGUAGAGAUGUGGAGGAACACCAAUGGCGAAGGCAGCCCCCUGGGUCGAUACUGACGCUCAUGCACGAAAGCGUGGGUAGCAAACAGGAUUAGAUACCCUGGUAGUCCACGCCCUAAACGAUGUCAACUAGGUGUUGGGUGGGUAAAACCAUUUAGUACCGGAGCUAACGCGUGAAGUUGACCGCCUGGGGAGUACGGCCGCAAGGUUA
rnacentral:rRNA from 1 species